rnacentral:rRNA from 1 species
GACGAACGCUGGCGGCGUGCUUAACACAUGCAAGUCGAACGAUGAAGCGGGUGCUUGCACUCGUGGAUUAGUGGCGAACGGGCGAGUAACACGUGAGUAACCUGUCCUUUUCUUUGGGAUAACGGCUGGAAACGGCUGCUAAUACUGGAUAUUCAGGCUGCAUCGCAUGGUGUGGUUUGGAAAGGUUUUUUCUGGGAUUGGGUGGGCUCGCGGCCUAUCAGCUUGUUGGUGGGGUGAUGGCUUACCAAGGCUUUGACGGGUAGCCGGCCUGAGAGGGUGGUCGGUCGCACUGGGACUGGGAUACGGCCCAGACUCCGACGGGAGGCAGCAGUGGGGAAUAUUGCACAAUGGACGAAAGUUUGAUGCAGCGACGCCGCGUGGAGGGUGUAGGCCUUCGGGUUGUGAACUCCUUUUUCUCGCGAAAAAGGCACAGUUUUGGCUGUGUUGAUGGUAGUGGGGGAAGAAGCGCCGGCUAACUACGUG